rnacentral:tRNA from 1 species
UUAUGGUUAGUUAGCUUAAUGAAAGCAUAUGCUUUGAAAGCAUAAGAAAGAAGUUCAAAUCUUCUAAUAA